UCGAGCCUCGGUUAAAGGACAGCUGUUUCAGUCAAUAAAGAGAGAGCAUCAGUGGGUGUUUCCUGGGAGAGGACGCCGGAAGUCAUAUUUCGCCUGCGGUAGGGAAGGAGGUUAACAGAGUAAACACCCAGAGCUGAGGCGACCCCUGAGAAAGGGUCGUUCAACCCCCAAAGGGGUCGCGACCCACAGGUUGAGAGCUGCUGAUCUAGAGAAGUGAUCGAGAAAUGAACGCUGAGCCAUCCUGCCACCUGUUGGCAGCUCAGCGGCUG